CACGGGGGGAGCAAGCGUUGUUCGGAAUCACUGGGCGUAAAGGGCGUGUAGGCGGUCAAGUAAGUGGAAUGUGAAAGCCCCCGGCUUACCCGGGGAUCUGCAUCCCAAAACUGCUUGGCUUGAGUACGGGAGAGGAUAGGGGAAUUCCUGGUGUAGCGGUGAAAUGCGUAGAUAUCAGGAGGAACACCGGUGGCGAAGGCGCCUAUCUGGCCCGAUACUGACGCUGAGGCGCGAAAGCUAGGGGAGCAAACGGG
rnacentral:rRNA from 1 species